UAAAUUUCCAACGUCUAACACACAUCGUUUACGGCAUGGACUACGAGGGUAUCUAAUCCUCUUCGCUACCCAUGCUUUCGUUCCUCAGUGUCAGUAGUGAUCCAGAAAGCUGCCUUCGCAAUUGGUAUUCUUUCUAAUAUCUACGAAUUUCACCUCUACACUAGAAAUUCUGCUUUCCUCUAUCAUACUCUAGCUGAAAAGUUUUGAUGGCAGUUCCAGAGUUAAGCUCUGGGAUUUCACCACCAACUUUUUCAACCACCUACGAACUCUUUAAGCCCAGUAAUUCCGAACUACGCUAGGUCCCUUCGUAUUACCGCGGCUGCUGGCACGAAGUUAGCCGGACCUUCUUAUUCGGGUACAGUCAUUUUCUUCCCCGACGAAAGAGCUUUACAACCCAAAGGCCUUCUUCACUCACGCGGCAUCGCUGCAUCAGAGUUUCCUCCAUUGUGCAAGAUUCCCCACUGCUGCCUCCCGUAGGAGUUUGGGCCGUGUCUCAGUCCCAAUGUGGCUGAUCAUCCUCUCAAAUCAGCUAUAGAUCAUAGUCUUGGUAGGCCAUUACCCUACCAACAAACUAAUCUAGUGCAGGCUCAUCCAAUGGUGCAUAAAGCUUUCUCCGUAAAGACUUAUCCGGUAUUAGCACAAGUUUCCUCGUGUUAUUCCAGGCCAAAGGGCAGAUACCUACAUGUUACUCACCCGUCUGCCACUAAGUAUUGCUACUUCGUUCGACUUGCAUGUGUUAGGCGUGCCGCCAGCGUACGUUCUGAGCCAGGAUCAAACUCU
rnacentral:rRNA from 1 species